CAAUAGCGUAUAUUAAAGUUGUUGCGGUUAAAAAGCUCGUAGUUGGAUUUCUGCUGAGAACGACCGGUCCGCCCUUUGGGUGUGUAUCUGGCUCUUUCUUGGCAUCUUCUUGGUGAACGUUGCUGCACUUGACUGUGUGGAGCGCUACCCAGGACUUUUACUUUGAGGAAAUUAGAGUAUUUCAAGCAGGCAUACGCCUUGAAUACAUUAGCAUGGAAUAAUAAGAUAGGACCUCGGUUCUAUUUUGUUGGUUUCUAGAGCUGAGGUAAUGAUUAAUAGGGAUAGUUGGGGGCAUUCGUAUUUAACUGUCAGAGGUGAAAUUCUUGGAUUCGUUAAAGACGGACUACUGCGAAAGCAUUUGCCAAGGAUGUUUUCAUUGA
rnacentral:rRNA from 1 species